CGCGGAGGAAGGUAAGACGG
rnacentral:miRNA from 1 species